UAUACUUUUUUGUGUGCUUGUUUCUUUUGACGUUUGUUUUUCCAUUCAAAUAAAAAUAUUUAUAAUAUAAAUGAAAUGGCAGAAAAUAAAAAUUUGUGCCAAAAAUUAUAAAAAUAACUGCAUUUGUUCUAGCAUUUAUAUUGUUAGUCAAAACAUUUCUGUGUUUUCUUUUGUCAUUUGCCAUACUCGAAGAACCGCCUGAGGAUUGGCCUCAAAGGCUUAAAGAUGACUGUCAUCCCAAAUGGUAUAGUUGGUUCUCGCUAAUUCUGAACGCUGUUUUUGUGGUCUAUUUUGUUGUGGUCUAUUCUUAUAUGUAUUUUGGUAUAUCUACUAUAUGCACUGCCAUACAAAUAUGUACUCGUUACUGCAGCAAUAACAAUUUGAUCACAUUUACCUCUCUUUAGACACACAAAUUUAACCUCUUGGUGCUUAUUGGGGUAACUGCUUACCUCAUAGUUUCCGUAACAGCUCAUAUCAUAUUGUGGAUAGAACAGACAAAAACACAUAUGAUGAUGCAAUUAAAUUGAAUGGGAACCGCGUUGUCCUUCGUUUGUAGUCCAUUAUCCUACAUUCACUACCGAAGAAUUAUUGCCGAUGAGCGAAUGCAAGAAAUGGAGGAGAGAAAAUCAUCAGAAAGUUAGCAAGGAUGAACUAUAUAUGAAAUUAUUGACAAUAUAUAGAUACAUUUCACGGUUUCAAUAUUUUAACGAAAUAAUGUCUCAGUUCCAAUAAAUACUUUCGAGAUCUUCGAAACCCUAAAUUGUCUUAAGAGCUUGGGGGCUUGUGAGUAACGAGUUCUUUCGAAUUAUUUUACGUUUUUUUAAGU